CCCGAGCGAGCUCCGUGCGUCCGGGAGGGAGCGCAGGGCUCCCCGGGUUCAAGGGGCCGCAGCCCCGAGGGAAUGCCCUGCCCGUGGUGCCCCGGGGUGCAGAAGCGGACUGCAGGGCGGUGGGACCGGCCUGGGUCACGGUUGUGACAAGUUGCAGAGAGACUCGGAGAACUCCUAAGGGGAGCCGCAGUGCAAUGAAAAAUGCUCGCGAUGCGUGGAA
rnacentral:lncRNA from 1 species